rnacentral:rRNA from 1 species
UACGAGGGGGCAAGCGUUGUUCGGAAUUACUGGGCGUAAAGUGUGCGCAGGCGGUGAUGUAAGACAGAUGUGAAAUCCCCGGGCUCAACCUGGGAACUGCAUUUGUGACUGCAUCGCUAGAGUACGGCAGAGGGGGAUGGAAUUCCGCGUGUAGCAGUGAAAUGCGUAGAUAUGCGGAGGAACACCGAUGGUGAAGGCAAUCCCCUGGGCCUGUACUGACGCUCAUGCACGAAAGCGUGGGGAGCAAACAGG